AUCUCGGUGGGUUUUAGCCAGCCCUAACUGUGCCCCCCUGAUGGCCGGGGGUCGGGGGUCGGGGUUCGAUCCCUCGACGGCCGCCAACGACGCGAUCACACUUGAGCAGGACGAGCCACGAGUUCGCCCUCGGUUGCUUCGUUUAGUGUUCCGAUUCCGAAGGAGAGAGCGGCGUCUUCGCUUUGAAUUCAUUGGAAAGAAAUAAAAGGGAAAAGAAGAAACCACACUGAGGCAUCCUGCGUAUAGUUUGCGCCAACCCCACUCAAGUAUGCAGUUCUAUGUUCAGCAAAAUAGCUAGACAUGCCUAAGAAAUGUGUGAGGAUGAGGAAACAAGAAUAAUGGAGAAAUCCGUAUCUGCACCGGUUUCUGGACACUAUGUAACUCCAACAUCAGUCCUCCAACGAGAAGGAUUUUGUUGAAAGAAGAGGAAGGGGAAGACAUCUUACCAAGUCCUUAGCAAACUGUAGAGCUUCUCUCUGGCAAAUCCUUCCCAUGCUGCAGUGUUAUCAGCCGGCAAGAUUGCUCUUUUAUCAGCCUAUCGAUGGAAGGUGUUUCCCCUGGGAUGAUCCCAAAAUCAUCGGUGUACUUCUCCAUUCCUCCCACCAAGAAGUGCCAGAUGAAGGUGCCUGCUCCAGCUCCAUUCCUCAGCGCAGACUCGUAGAUGGUGUCGUAGAUGGAUUUGUAGAAUGUCGCUCGAUGUGAGUGGUCAAAGUUCUUGUUCUUGUCGGAGAGGCCGAACUCUGUGAACAAGACUGGCUUGUGUAGCUCUUUCUCGCCAUCUUCAAUGUGAGAUGUCACCCAUUUGGAAACGUAGUCUGUUUUCUCAGUCAAAUUUGCAUCCAUCAACCUACAGAAGUGUAUACUCUGUGAUCAACAUUCACACAUGAAUCAUAGAAUUUGAAGUAGUAGUAUACCA